rnacentral:lncRNA from 7 species
AAAAACCAACAUGGCCAGGCCUGAAGCAUUGGUCUCUUCCUGAUGAGCUUACUCACUCAGCUGCUCAAGUGGGAUCCCAGCUGCUUGAGUAGUGAGAUGAGAUCUUGUUCCUACCUUUGAUGUUUUAGUUACCUGGCGAAGAGAGCAGUGGUCCAGUACCAGAACAGAAUUUCCUUGGCUUGGAAGGCAGAAAGGAAGAAUGCGUCAUCAGGAGUUGGAGUUUCUCUUUUUAGGGAUAUUCAGUGGUUGAAAAUGAACCAGAAGAAAGAACUUCAGAAGAAAGAGCUGGGAAGGAUAGAAGAGAAAAAUGAAGUGAAAUUACAGAGUUUCAGAGCUCUUGAGGACACCACAUGCCCAUGACCCUGCAGAAGAAACUGGAAAAACACCACUUCAACUUGUAAUUGGAUACAAGAUACUAAUUACAUAAAGCGUGCAUGUUGAUGGCACGACAUCAGUGCACUGAAAGACAGUCUCUCCUAGAUGACGUGCCUCCUGCAUGUCAAACUGAUGACUGUCUUUUGGUCAAGAACGCAUUCAGCUGGGAGUCUGACCAGUUUCAGCACGUUACUGGCAGGAGGCACUGCUCGAGUGGGUUCCUGUGUCCAACUCACACCGUCGUGCUGGAGCCCUGAUCUGUACGUUCUGCACUGCCACAGUGCCUCUCUCCAUUCUUAUUGUCAGAACUGUCCUGGUCUGCAAUUGUGUCUGUUUUCUGUAGCAAACGACUUUCACCUCUGGCAUAGUUCUGCACGUCUGGGUCAAUGGACUGCGCUGCCUUGACAGACAAUGAGGGACCUUUGUCCAGGCCGUGGCAGCACAUGAGAUCUCGCUCAGGUGCUGCUUCCCACCCUCGGUGCCCCCACCAUGCCGCGUGCUGCUCGCUUCUGGGGGAACGCUUUGAGCCCUGCCAUAGGCCCUCAAAAGAGGAACUGCAGAGGCAUAAUGGCAUCUUGUGACGUAGAAGAGCAUCCUGCGUGCCAGGCAAUGUCAGCAAAGGCACUGUCCCCUUAUCUCUGUUAUGUAACCACGUCAAAACGGAGGUGAGUUUGUGAACCUGAUGCGGCUGGCUGCAGUUACGGCACUUCCCCGGGACGUGGGCAGAGGCUGCCUGCUGGGAAAAAAAUACCGCUUUGGUUUACAACUGACUUACGCUCUUCCAACUCUGAAGCAGAAACAUGGACAAAGAUAUAAAAGGCCAGAGGCUGGUUCAUGGCAAAAAGUGUGGGUCCUGCGGCAAACACCAUAGCCACAGGAUGGAGGAACACACGAGCCUCUUACACGAGCCUGCCGCAGAAGGGAAAGUUGCCCAAAGCUUGCUUCAGCAUGAAUGUGGCUUCUCUUCCACGGCGUGUGCCACACCUCUUGGCAAGGUGGAGGUUUGAGAAGGAAAGAUUCCUUUCUCCUGAGGUAACAGGAGUACAACUGGAAUAAAAAAAGGUGGCAGGCGGGAGAAUGCCGCGUCUGCAGAACAGAAUGCAGAGGAUGGGGUGGCAACUUCUGCGGGGCCUCCACUUGAUUUCCAGCUGUCUCCAGCCUCUGCCUCUCUCCCAUGGUUCCUUUCAUUAAAUCAAUGAACCU